UACAGAGGAGCCAAGCGUUGUCCGGAUUGACUGGGCGUAAAGCGCACGCAGGCGGACGCGCGCGUGGGGUGUGAAAUCUGGCCGCUUAACGGCAGGGGCCAUCCCAUACGGCGCGUCUGGAGCGCUGCAGAGGUCGGUGGAAUUGCCGGUGUAGUGGUGAAAUGCGUAGAUAUCUGGAGGAACACCGGUGGCGAAGGCGGCAUCCUGGACCAACACUGACGCUGAUGAGCGAAAGCCAGGGGAGCAAACGGG
rnacentral:rRNA from 1 species